CGGACGGGUGGAGUAACGACGUGGAAAACCUAGCCGUAUACUGGGGGAGUAACACUUAGAAAUAGGUGCUAAUACCGCAUAAGCGCACAGCUUCGCAUGAAGCGGUGUGAAAAACUCUGGUGGUAUACGAUGGUUCCGCGUCUGAUUAGCUAGUUGGUGGGGUAAUGGCCUACCAAGGCAACGAUCAGUAGCCGGCUUGAGAGGGUGAACGGCCACAUUGGGACUGAGACACGGCCCAAACUCCUACGGGAGGCAGCAG
rnacentral:rRNA from 1 species